rnacentral:rRNA from 1 species
UAGGUGACCUGCCGAAGGAUCAUUG